GAUGAAGAACGCAGCGAAAUGCGAUACUUGGUGUGAAUUGCAGAAUCCCGUGAACCAUCGAGUCUUUGAACGCAAGUUGCGCCCGAAGCCAUUAGGCCGAGGGCACGCCUGCCUGGGCGUCACACGUCGUUGCCCCCCCAUCUACUCCUUCGGGAUUGCGGGGGGCGGAUGAUGGCCUCCCGUGCGCCUCGUCGCGCGGUUGGCAUAAAUACCAAGUCCUCGGCGACGCACGCCACGACAAUCGGUGGUUGCGAAACCUCGGUUGCCCGUCGUGUGCGGUCGUCGCGCAUCGAGGGCUCGAAAAAAUUGCCGGGCUCCGGCUCGGCUUUCAACGCGACCCCAGGUCAGGCGGGGUUACCCGCUGAAUUUAAGCAUAUCAAUAAGCGAGGA
rnacentral:misc_RNA from 1 species